ACCCGCUGAAUUUAAGCAUAUAAGUAGGCGGUGGAAAAUGAACCAAAUGGGAUUCCUUGAGUAAUUGCGAAUGAACGAGGAAAUGCUCACCUUGGAAAACUGGGUACCUUGUCCCCUGAAUUGUAUUUUUGAAAUGUAUUACCAAUGGAUGUGCAGGUGCAAGCCUAUUGAAAGAAAGUGCCAUUGUGGGUGACAUUCCUUUUGCCAACUGUAAUCUUCCAUGCACGGUGUACAUUUAAUGAGUCACAUUCCUUGGCAUUGGAAUGCAAAUGUGGUGGUAAAUUCCAUGUAAAGGAAAAUAUGUCAUUGAGACUGAUAGCAAACAAGUACCAUGAGGGAGAUAUGAAAAGGACUUUGAAAAGAGAAUUAAAAGAGCCUGAAAUUGCUGAGCAGAAAGCAAACAGACAUGUGCACAAUGGUAAGACUGCUGCAUUCCUUCCUGCAGAUUGUGUGUGGAAGUGUGUGCAAUGGUUCUUGCGUUGAACACCAGCUUUGCUACUUGAAAUCAUUAUUCAUGUGUAUGAAUGAAAAUUUGUUUUCGGGCAAUGCAACGCAUGCAUAUGAUAUGAUGUUGGGUUGCUUUGUGGCACAUGGCCUGGCUUGGUGCACUUGGAUUAGGAAGGGUGCCCUUCCUGUGUGUCGCUCAUGACUUUGUGUUUUGUUGCUGGAAAUUGGUUCUGCUUGACCCGUCUUGAAACACGGACCAAGGAGUCUAACAGAUGUGCAAGCUUGUGGGUGGAAUGCCUUCUGGCGCAAUGAAAGCAUUUGCUGGGAUUCUUGCACCAGCAGCCGACUGAUUAAUGGAGAGAGGUUUGAGUUUGAGCACAUCUAUUAGGACUCGAAAGAUGGUGAACUAUGCCUGAUUAGAAUGAAUUCAGAGGAAACUCUGGUGAAGGUUCGUAUCGUUACUGACGUGCAAAUCGUUC
rnacentral:rRNA from 1 species